AGCAGAGCAUGGAGUGCAUGGAAAGGUUUUCUGAAGGGGAAUACAAAAUCAAUUGUCCUGAAUCUUCACAGGCCAAGAUGCCAAGGCUAAAGGGGCUUUUCCAGGCUGCUUGUGACACUCAAGGGAUUGAAAAUGAAUCCUGUAACUUUAUCCAACACCAGGAAAAUUUGGAUACUGCAGAAGAAAGAUGGCUUUUCCUUUCUUUUUGUUUGAAAGCUCUCUGGUCAGUUGAAAGGAGGUGAGUCCUAUGAAAGCUGAAGACUUUGUGUGGAAAUAAAGCACGAAGGGCUUUGCACCAAAAUAAGCCGUCGGAUCCCCCUGUGGUUUUCCUCCAACAUUUGCUGCUCUUCUGUGUUUCUACUUGGCUCCACAGCUUGGAUCCAUGCAGCCUUCCUGCCAUCAAACACCGUGCUGUCCCAGUAGAGCACCUCUGGUUCUUCCUGUUAAUCUUCAGAAGCUCCAGUGGGAUCAGCUUCAUCUGGUUGGUCUUUGGGCAGAAGUUAUCGAGAGUGGGAGAACUCAGAUCAAACGUUUCCUGAAGUGUAGUAGGAGGCAGGAAGAAUGACACUUGCUAAUUUGAAUUUCAGAAAGCACCUAAACUUCAUUCUGAUCUCCAGAGGUCUCUAUCUUAAACCACUUCAGCAAUUAAUACAACCCUGCCACAAUCAAGAGGAUGAACUAACCCCCCAAUUUUGUAUUUGUGGUUGUUCUUUUAUUGAACUCUGCCUACCUGACAUCAUGAAGGAUUAAUUCAGCAUCUCUCACAACCCAGAUCGAACAAUGGGCGAAAAAUGAAAUGCUGUCAUCGGGUGAAGAAAUCUAUUGCACAGGAAAUUCCUUCAUGAGAAAAUUUGAAUUCCAUUCUAAACCAGACAGACAAAACAUAAUCUGGAGAAGAAUAAUUCUUGAGCUGUUUAUCUCCAGCAAGGUUGGGUGCCUGCCCAUGGCUGGCUGCAAAGUGUGUAAGUGGCAGGUCUGGUCUCUGUUUUUGCCUCCUUGCUGCUUCUGUUUGAUUAACUCAGCAGCAGUGGCGUAUUAGCUGGAUAAAACUAGCUCUCCAAAUGAACAUGUUUAUUGAGGAGCACAGGGUGAAUAAAGAAUUAAAUUCUGAUGCUAAAAAAAUUGGUGCCUUCCUGGAGUGAUGACUAAUCAUUGAAUGAAAAAAUCCCCAAGAAACCCAAACAUAAAGGCAGAUUUUUGCUGUAUCUGUUCUAUAGGAAUACUUUAGGGACUUAGGUUCUAAUAGGUGAUCACUAUUUAUAUAUCUGGGCAAAGAAACAGAUAAUAAGGAGCUAAAUCUAUAGACAUGUUUAGAUAUGCAUUGGACUGCAACAAGCCAGGCACAGCAGGUUGGUUGGACCAGGUGAACUAGGCUGGUGCUGCUGCCUUUGCAUUGGCAGAAGUGCAAAGCACUGCCAGAAAAGGAGAAUUCUUAUUCAGGUUACACUUCGUACAUUUCCUUUCUGCCUCUGUGCUGUCAGCAGUCCAGCAUUAACAAUCUCUCAAAGAGAUGGAUUCCAUCUUUCAUGACUACUGUAAAACCAAGGCACUUUUAAAGCAUGAAAAAGGAAAAUAUGGAUUGCAAAGAUGGAGGAAGAGAACAGUGUGAAAUCAAAAGUUCAUAUGAUGCUUAUUCUAUAGUCUCACAACAUUAAGUAAGACACUAUCUGAAGGCUAAUGGAGAACCCAAAAAGCAAUUAAAUGGAGAAAGAAAGGCAAAAAAGGGAAAGAUGUGUAUAAACAAAUUAAUCUAAGAAACUUUGAGGACAAUGGAAAAGUUAGACGACAUGAGAUUAAUUUACAAAUGAAAGAAUAUUUAUAUAUCAUGUAUCAUGGCAAAUACAGAAUUCUUUCUGACUUUCUGCUAGUGACUCAAAAUUCAGUGAGGAAAAGGACGAACUGGUAGGUGAGUGUAAGCUUGAAAACAGCAGAAAUGGCUUGAAAACUGAGCAGAAACUCUUUGGAAACCUGAAUCAAUCUGCUUAAUGUAUGAAGUGAUCAAGUUCUUGAUGUAUUUUUCUUAGGAAGUAAUGCAAUCUUUGUCCUCAACCUUAAUGUGGAAAUACAGUGACUUUUAGCAUAAAGGAAUGGAUAAAGUUAGUCAUAUGGGUAGGCUUCUCUUCAGGACAAAAAAGGAUAAUUUCACAGAGGAAAUAGAUGUUGCAACUGUUAUAAUUUUACUUGAUUUUAAUUUUUAUUAAUG